UACGUAGGGGGCAAGCGUUGUCCGGAUUCAUUGGGCGUAAGGAGCGUGUAGGCGGCCAGGUAGGUCGGUUGUGAAAACUGGAGGCUCAACCUUCAGAGGUCGACCGAAACCAUCUGGCUAGAGUCCGGGAGAGGAGAGUGGAAUUCCUGGUGUAGCGGUGAAAUGCGCAGAUAUCAGGAAGAACACCCGUGGCGAAAGCGACUCUCUGGAACGGUACUGACGCUGAGACGCGAAAGCGUGGGGAGCGAACAGG
rnacentral:rRNA from 1 species